GUGCCAGCAGCCGCGGUAAUACGUAGGGGGCAAGCGUUGUCCGGAUUUAUUGGGCGUAAAGAGCGUGUAGGCGGCCAGACAAGUCUGCUGUGAAAACUCGAGGCUCAACCUCGAGCUGUCGGUGGAAACUGUCUGGCUAGAGUCCGGAAGAGGAGAGUGGAAUUCCUGGUGUAGCGGUGAAAUGCGCAGAUAUCAGGAAGAACACCUAUGGCGAAGGCAGCUCUCUGGGACGGUACUGACGCUGAGACGCGAAAGCGUGGGGAGCGAACAGGAUUAGAUACCCUGGUAGUCC
rnacentral:rRNA from 1 species